UUUUGGAGYGAUUUGUCUGGUURAUUCCGAUAACGAACGAGACUCUAGCCUAUUAAAUAGUUCGCCCGUGCACGUCUGGCGGGCGCCAACUUCUUAGAGGGACAAGUGGCUUUUAGCCACGCGAGAUUGAGCAAUAACAGGUCUGUGAUGCCCUUAGAUGUUCGGGGCCGCACGCGCGCUACACUGAAGCAAUCAGCGUGUCUCUCUCCUGGUCCGGAAGGAUUGGGCAACCAGCUGAACCUGUUUCGUGAUAGGGACUGGGGCUUGCAAUUGUUCCCCAAGAACGAGGAAUUCCUAGUAGGCGCGAGUCAUGAGCUCGCGUCGAUUACGUCCCUGCCCUUUGUACACACCGCCCGUCGCUACUACCGAUUGAAUGGCUUAGUGAGAUCCUCGGAUGGGCCCUGGUGUGCACGGCAACGAGCACGCUGGUGUGCCUAGAAGACGCUCGAACUUGAUCAUUUAGAGGAAGUAAAAGUCGUAACAAGGUUUCCGUAGGU
rnacentral:rRNA from 1 species